rnacentral:rRNA from 1 species
AUGCUUCCGCUGCGGCGCUUGUCGCGGGCCUGCCGCCGGCGAGGUCUCGCCCAGUUCGCCGCCGGAAUCCCCCGGGAGGCGGCGGACGCGGUCGUGGUGGGCGCCGGCGCGGUCGGCCUCGCGGUGGCGCGCGCGCUGGCCAUGGCCGGGCGCGAGGUGGUGGUGGUCGAGGCGGCCUCCAGCUUCGGCACCGGCACCAGCUCCCGCAACAGCGAGGUCAUCCACGCCGGCAUCUACUACCCUCCCCGCAGCCUCAAGGCUAAUCUUUGUGUAAGAGGAAGGGAAAUGCUCUACAAGUACUGCGCAGAACGAGCAAUCCCCCAUGAACGGCUCGGUAAACUUAUCGUUGCUACUGGUGUUGCAGAGACUGCAAAGCUGGACAUGCUCCUCAAGAGUGCUAAAGACAAUGGGGUGGAUGAUCUUCAGAUGAUGGAAGGUUCUCAGGCCAUGGAGAUGGAACCUGAACUUCGUUGUUUGAAAGCUUUGCUAUCACCUAGUACUGGGAUUGUUGACUCACAUUCAUUCAUGCUCUCCCUUUUGGCUGAUGCUGAAAACCUAGGCGCAACCACAUCAUAUAACACAGCAGUCCUUAGUGGGCGUGUUGGAGAUGAAGGGCUCGAGCUUCAUAUUUCUGAAAGCAAAGAGCUGGAGAACCAUUCUAUAGGCUCUCCUGUACUCCCACAGAUUGUUUUGCUUCCAAAACUUCUGAUAAAUGCAGCAGGUUUGAGUGCAAUUCCACUUGCCAAAAGACUUGAUGGCCUUGACCAAGCAUUUGUGCCCCCGGCUUACUAUGCCCGUGGAUGUUACUUCACCCUCUCACAAACCAAGAGUCCUUUCAGCCACUUAAUAUACCCUCUACCAGAGGAUGGUGGCAUAGGGGUCCAUGUCACACUAGACUUAAAUGGCCUUGUUAAAUUUGGACCAGAUGUUGAAUGGUUAGAUGGUAAAAUGGAUGACAUGUCAUGUUUCCUGAAUAGAUUUGAUUACUCGGUGAACCCCACCCGAUGUUCUGGAUUUUACUCUGUGAUAAGGAAGUACUUUCCAAAUCUCAAGGAUGGUUCUUUGGAGCCUGGUUAUUCUGGGAUCCGACCAAAGCUUUCUGGCCCGGGACAGCGCCCUUCGGAUUUUGUUAUUCAGGGGGAGGAAGUCCACGGUAUUCCUGGGCUGGUUAACUUGUUUGGUAUAGAAUCCCCUGGUUUGACAUCAAGCUUGGCAAUUGCAGAACACAUUGUUUCAAGCAGGAUGAACCCAGGACGUCUGGAGGCUAUCAUGUGA